rnacentral:tRNA from 1 species
CCCAGGCUGGUGUAGUGGUUGCAUACCUUGCUGACAACGAGGAGGACCGGGUUCGAAUCCCGGGCUUGGAA